CCCCACCAUGGUCCCAACAAAAGUCCCAAAUUUGAGUCUCAGUGAUUUAGCUGGGGUAGUGUGACCAAUGACAUCCAGGAUGUGAAGCUUCUUUCUGUUCAGUUCUAUAUUAGAUCAUAUACCACUCCAGAGGUCACAAGGUCAAGGGUGAAGUCCUACCCAAUCCUAAUGUUAUUUGUUUACAAUUACUGUACCUAUGUGUGUUUCCUCUAGUGCAGACCCGGCCUCUCUACCAUGUUUGAAUUCUGCCUUUGGAUUGCUCUUAGUAGAAAAGAAGCUGAAGAUCAAGAUGUGGAAAGAAUAGCAAAUCUCUUAGUGAAGAAACAGUCAAGAAAAUUACUGCUCUCUUAACUUAAAGAGAAACAUUAAUUAAAGAUUAUCCAAAGGUGAUACCCAUUAAGAGGAAUCCCAAAAGAAGAGAACACUCACAUGAUGACAGAAGUGCAUGCUGCUCACUUUUGAAGAAAACAUACCCCACAGAGAGGAGAACUCUACCAGUGACUCUAAAAGCCGUGUGUUCCCUGACUCUCUUAGCUUCCUGGACACAAAAGCAAGUGGCAUGUGACAUACGCUUUCUUCCAAGCCAUUGUCCAUGUUUAUAUAAUGUUUCACAACGUUGCAUCACAGUUCUGUUUGAAUCCUUGGAACCAAGGCAACAGGAAGAAUGAAUUCUGCUGAUCACCACAAAGAGACAGAAGAGGCUUUGGCCAGAAAGUUCUUUUUUUAGUUACCAAAGCUCUGGAAUAUUCACCUGCUGGAGUAUUACAUGGAUGUCAAUCGUUCAACUGUGGCUGAGGUUUACAAGAAUAGGAGAUGGAUGUCACAACUUCUGGUUUAUAUGGUGACAGCACUUUUAAUAUAUAUUUGAGGGACCAUCCUUUUCUACACUCCAUGGAGCUAUUUUCCACAACUGACCUGCCAAGUCUCGGGGGGUGCAACACCCUGAAGAUGUCAAAGCCAGACCCAACAUCUACUCGGAAGACACUGAGGAACGUAUCUCUCUAGGUAUGUCAAUUAUGGAACAACCACUGACUCUGGAAUGCUAUCAGGACCCUAGAUUAUCGAAUGGCUGCAUCUGU